rnacentral:lncRNA from 1 species
UUUUGAUUUGGUUCUGGCUUAGACCGUCAUGCAUGUGAAUUAAAAUAUGACACGCUGUUUUCUGCGGUGUGUUUUGAAACAAUAACAUUCUAAGCAGCCUCAGGUUUAUUUGCUACCAUGUACUUGGGUUGUGAACUAUUUUUAUUUUCAUUUCUAUUCUGAUUGUCUAGUCGAUUUACUUCUUUGUUCUAUGUUUGACUUUUUUAGUUGAAUUCUGACAGUGCAAAAGUUUACAUGAUUCUUGGUGGUCUUCUCUUUGUAAUGUUGAUCUGCGACUUGGUGGUCUUCUCUUUGUAAUGUUGAUCUGCGACUUGGUUUGAAGAAUUAUGCAACUAUUCUUUCUUUCUUCUUGUUUAUUAUUUUACAACCUAUUUUUUCACAGCU